CAAGUCGAGCGAGCUUGCCUAGAUGAUUUUAGUGCUUGCACUAAAUGAAACUAGAUACAAGCGAGCGGCGGACGGGUGAGUAACACGUGGGUAACCUGCCCAAGAGACUGGGAUAACACCUGGAAACAGAUGCUAAUACCGGAUAACAACACUAGACGCAUGUCUAGAGUUUGAAAGAUGGUUCUGCUAUCACUCUUGGAUGGACCUGCGGUGCAUUAGCUAGUUGGUAAGGUAAUGGCUUACCAAGGCGAUGAUGCAUAGCCGAGUUGAGAGACUGAUCGGCCACAUUGGGACUGAGACACGGCCCAAACUCCUACGGGAGGCAGCAGUAGGGAACCUUCCACAAUGGACGAAAGUCUGAUGGAGCAACGCCGCGUGGGUGAAGAAGGGUUUCGGCUCGUAAAGCUCUGUUGGUAGUGAAGAAAGAUAGAGGUAGUAACUGGCCUUUAUUUGACGGUAAUUACUUAGAAAGUCACGGCUAACUACGUGCCAGCAGCCGCGGUAAUACGUAGGUGGCAAGCGUUGUCCGGAUUUAUUGGGCGUAAAGCGAGUGCAGGCGGUUCAAUAAGUCUGAUGUGAAAGCCUUCGGCUCAACCGGAGAAUUGCAUCAGAAACUGUUGAACUUGAGUGCAGAAGAGGAGAGUGGAACUCCAUGUGUAGCGGUGGAAUGCGUAGAUAUAUGGAAGAACACCA
rnacentral:rRNA from 1 species